rnacentral:rRNA from 1 species
AGCGAACGCUGGCGGCAUGCCUAACACAUGCAAGUCGAACGUGAACGGGGGCAACCCCUAGUAAAGUGGCGUACGGGUGAGUAACACGUAGGUAAUCUACCUCAAAGUCUGGAAUAACCUGCCGAAAGGCAGGCUAAUACUGGAUAGAGCGACGGAACUCGUAAAGAGUUUUUCGGGAAAGGGAGCUCGCAAGAGCCCUCGCUAUGAGAUGAGCCUGCGUCCCAUCAGCUAGUUGGUAAGGUAACGGCUUACCAAGGCUAUGACGGGUAGCUGGGCUGAGAGGAUGAUCAGCCACACUGGAACUGAAACACGGUCCAGACUCCUACGGGAGGCAGCAGUGGGGAAUCUUGCGCAAUGGACGAAAGGCUGACGCAGCCAUGCCGCGUGAGUGAAGAAGGCCUUCGGGUCGUAAAGCUCUGUCGAGCGGGACGAACAUCAGGUGGGUUAAGAGCUAAUCUGACUGACGGUACCGCUAAAGGAAGCACCGGCUAACUCCGUGCCAGCAGCCGCGGUAA